CAAGAAGACCAUACUCCUCAACCCAGUUUUCAAGGCUCUCUUCACUAGCAGUUGGAUUCCCACCUUCCAACUUUCUCUCAUAUGUUUCCAAUUUGUUCCUCAAGACCCAGCUUAGAGCCAGCUACACCUUGUAAGCCUGGCCUGAUGAGCGAUGUGUAGGUCCAUGCCUGGGAUCUGAACUGGUGAACCCUGGGCCACAGAAGCAGAGUGCAUGAAAUUUAACCACUAUGCUCACAAAGGAUGAAGCUGAUCUGCAGUACUAAGUAAAAGCUGGCCUCAAGGCAGGGGGCCUGGGACACAGAGAAAGACAGGCACCUACACCGUCCACAGGAGGGCAGGCUCCCAUUCGGGGCAGCGGGUCUGAUUCCCACCGCCUCGUUCAUUCCCACCAUAAUCUGCUAACUCCCACUUAGUCUGCUUGAGAGGACAGGGAGUUAAAACAUGGGCUAGGUCUCGGACUUGAAGGCUGUUGCAUUUUUGGAGUCAGAGUGUUGGUUCCCUGGUCUGAACUUUUAAACCGCUAAGUGGAACCUCUUUUAUUUCUCUCUCAACGACACCGCCAUCCCAAUCUCAGUUAGUGCUCUGUGCUCAAGAAGUAACUGUCAGCAACUCCUCCUCCUCCUCCCUCCCCUUCUCCUUCUGGAUAAUCAGUAGCUCUUUCGAGAAAAGCCCAACUAUUGGGGUCAGUGGUUCUCAACUGGGGAAUGCACAUCAGAAUCACCUGGGCAGCUGGAAAAAAAAAAGACUCCUGAGCUCUAUCCUAGAUUUAUUGAAUCCCAAUCACCAUGGGUGAGGCCAGGAAUUCUGAAAGGUUUAAAAUCUCCCCAGGUGAUAUGGAUGCACAGCCGAUGAAGAUACAGUCAGCCAGUGUGACUAACUCUACAGGGCAAAUGACCCAGUUUCUUCAACAAAUACACGACAUGAAAAACGGAGGCGAGCAGAAAGCGUCACAAAUGAAAAGACCUGAAACAUGUCAACCAAGUGCGAUGUGCAGACCUUGUUUCGAUCUGAGCAAACUAAAAAUAGGCAUUUUGAG
rnacentral:lncRNA from 1 species